rnacentral:lncRNA from 1 species
UCUGCAUUCAAAUCUUCACUCAUUCUCUCUGCAGAUCUCUCUGAUUUUCUCUUCUUUCUUGUUAGGAACUUGCUCUGGGUGCACCCUCCCCGGCCCAGUCUGCUCCCCUCCUUUGGUCUCACCACUUCUCUCUAGUGCACUCCCACACUGUUCAAGAGGCCGUGCUUCAUGGCUGGGACAGAAUGGAAAUAGUCAAGCAAGAAGUAAUAGCCAAGCAGGGAGAAGGAAGAUCUUGCCCUUGAUUGGCUCUUCUCCAUAAGCCUCAGAGAUGUGGGUCAAUCAAUUAACAUUACAAGGAAUUGAAAUCUCAUUUCCUGGAAAUACCGGGCUGGACGGCAGCCAUCCCUCAAACGAGCCCCCGUGGAGAAGACUUGGAGACGUGAGCUCCCAACUCGGAUUUCCGGUGGAUGCGUCUUAAAUCCCACGGACUGGAGGCUGAGGUCAUAGAUUACUUUCUCAGUGCCAUCAAGGGUCAGUUCAACUUACACUUCCUGUCAUUAUUGUCUUAGAUCAUGCAUGACAUAAUACUUCUUAGCCCAUUUCCUCACAUACAGAUUUCUAAUCAGCUGUGAAAAAAUACUGUUAAUAUCUGUAUGUUCAAGAAGAGAUGUUAGCGGAAUAAGGGCUGAAAAGCUGCUCUGAACUGGCAAUAGCCGGAGUUAAAUAAAAUAGGAUGGCAAAUCUGGAAAUGGGGUAAUGGUAGUCAUUUAAGAAGAAGAGGUUAAGCGGACUGGUCAACAUCACCACUAAAAGGCUUCUUGCUCUGCUCUCAACUUCAUUUGCAUAACUGGGGUACCAUGGGGUUACAGUAGGUGGAAAUGAGCUUUGCUACCAGAUAAAUGCAGGUAGGAACCCUGCCUCUACUGGGCUCUGUGAGAUUGGACAAGUUCCUUUACUUUUCUCAGCCUUUUGCCAGGGAAAUUUCCAAACUUUCAAAACUGUAGCAAGAAACAGAGAUCAUGCAUGAAGAGCAGUUGGUACAGAGAGGUGCUCAGUACAUGGUGAAACAAAUAAUAAUACUAACUGUGUGCCCACUGGGGGACUGGCCUGGUGCUCACUGUGAUG